GAGUGAGUGGCGAACUGGUGAGUAACACGUGGGAAACCUGCCCAGAAGCGGGGGAUAACACCUGGAAACAGAUGCUAAUACCGCAUAACAACUUGGACCGCAUGGUCCGAGUUUGAAAGAUGGCUUCGGCUAUCACUUUUGGAUGGUCCCGCGGCGUAUUAGCUAGAUGGUGAGGUAACGGCUCACCAUGGCAAUGAUACGUAGCCGACCUGAGAGGGUAAUCGGCCACAUUGGGACUGAGACACGGCCCAAACUCCUACGGGAGGCAGCAGUAGGGAAUCUUCCACAAUGGACGAAAGUCUGAUGGAGCAACGCCGCGUGAGUGAAGAAGGGUUUCGGCUCGUAAAACUCUGUUGUUAAAGAAGAACAUAUCUGAGAGUAACUGUUCAGGUAUUGACGGUAUUUAACCAGAAAGCCACGGCUAACUACGUGCCAGCAGCCGCGGUAAUACGUAGGUGGCAAGCGUUGUCCGGAUUUAUUGGGCGUAAAGCGAGCGCAGGCGGUUUUUUAAGUCUGAUGUGAAAGCCUUCGGCUCAACCGAAGAAGUGCAAUCGUGAUUACUGGGAAACUUGAGUGCAAAAGAGGACAGUGUGAACUCCAUGUGUAGCGGUGAAAUGCGUAGAUAUAUGGGAAGAACACCAGUGGCGAAAGGCGGCUGUCUGGUCUGUGACCUGACGCUGAGGCUCGAAAGUAUGGGGUAGCAAAACAGGGAUUAGAUACCCUGGUAGUCCAUACCGUAAACGAUGAAUG
rnacentral:rRNA from 2 species